AAAAAUGUCUGUAGCUGCAGGGGUUGCAGCCCUGAACUUUUCUUACCCGGUGGGCAGACUUAAGCGUGGAUCAGCGGAUGCCAACACCCUUAACCGGGCUCCAGUUUCAAAGGGGGCCUUGAGUCCCCCAGACACUUCUCCCCCUUUCUUUCUCCUUCGAGCCCCGAGCCCCGGUGGCAGCGGGAGAGGACGGUAGAGGCCUGUCGUUACCAGCACUUGAGUGCACCUCCUGGAUGGAGGCAGGUCCUUUGAUUUCAAUGCCGCGGACACACAGACCAGGGGCCUGAUGAAGGGACAGAAUCCUCACGAGCACGGGGAUCCUUCCUGGAGCAUUUGUAGAUGAACCGGGCACUGCGCUUCUCCCCACCCCUGCCUGGGAUCCUUGCCUUCAGCGACUGGAUGGAUUCCAGUUUUAGUCUUGCCUUUCUCAGUUAUAGAGAGAACAACUGUAUAAAGUGUGUAAUCGGCUUCUGGCACGGGAGACACCCUGGAGAAUCUCAAGAUGUCAAAUAAAUGGAAGGAACCCGGAGGCAGUAUUGCUGUAACCUGCUCUGUGGUCUUCAGGGAGGAGGGGGCCCUGGCUGGAAGGGAGGGGCUCGGAGACCAGCCGCAUUUGGCAUAUGAUGUGAAGGCAUCUAAAGGAGAAAAAACCUACUGCACGGAUCUGCACGAGGGGGAUGGAGAAGUUGCAGCCUGAAUUUGGAAACCGUCUGGAUAAUUCCACCAAAGCAGCAGUAAGGCAGCAAAAACCUAGGAAGACCUGCCAGGGAGACCCAGACCUCUGUGGGUUUGCACGGUUCCUUAGGGCAGACUUCAACCCUGCUGAGAUGGGUGCAUCGGGCUGGUCUUCCGGUAAGGAUAGAGAGGAGCCCUAGGGGGCCUAUCCUCAGCAGUUAGAGCAUUGCUCUGUAUGAAGGAUCUCCUGAGAGACUGCACACAGAAUAAUAAAGGUAAAGUGGAGGGACUAUCCCAGGAGACCAACAUGGCAGGGUCAAGAAGCUGCUGAUUAUGCAAGAGUCAGCUGAGAUGACAGCAGCGUGCAAAUAGUUUUAUGAAUUGAAAUAUUCCUUCCAACUCUAAUUAAGCAGCGGCAACAGUCCUGAAUGUUUAAUCACUUGCUUAACUGUUGAAUGUACUUCCAACCCAGGCAAUAGCAGCCAGUCUAUUUCUUAUUCUGACAGCACGUCACAACCAGAAUCCAAGCUUGGUUGGAAAUGCAUUAUUUAAAUGAAAAUAAAUUGACUAUUGAUACAAUUCAGUUGGGCUUGAGAAGAUUGUAUCUCACAGACACAAAUAUCGACUGUUCUUCUUUUGUCAUUGAUCAUUGUGGCAAAAAAUAGAUAAUCAUUGCUGAUUAAAUGCCAGGGUUGCCUAAUGAAUCUUUUUCUGUAGAACUUUCCGGGAGAUAUCUUGAGAGAAUGUGUAUUCAGAGGCCUCCAAUCCAUACCCUGCCAAGUGGGAAGACUUCACCACCAUCGCGAGAGUGUCAGAAGAUAGUCCUGGUUUUUUAUAUUCAAUGACCCGCCAAAGCUCCCUCUGGCAAGUCAAGACUUCUAAUUCCAUGUGUUGGAGAAGACAACUGAGCAAGCAUUGGACAGCUUGCCGUAUUAACUUGAACAACCCGUUCACAAUUGUCCCUGAAGUUUAUAAUAUUGAUCUUGGAAAUCUUGUUGGCUCUCUAGAGAAAAGAAUAAUACAUUUAAAUAGACUUUUAACCACUUAAGUGGCCAAGGAAAAUAAAAACAGUAAAAUAAAUAAAUAAAUAAAGGAAAGAAAGAAAAAAAAAAAGAAAAAGAAAGCCUACCUUGCAUAGCCUUGAAAUUGGAGACUGAAGACCACGGCAAGACACAAACAGCAACUGCUUUUCCUUGUCAGGAGCGUGCACGGGGCUGAGAGGCCCACUCGCAGUGUCCAUUUCCAACCAACGAGCGCCGUGUUGCAAGGCCUGAGAAAGACGCGCCGGCAGCCCCCCUGCGGCCCCGAGUGCCUCAGUCUCAGGGCUGUUCUUACAGCCGUGGCCUUGAGCGUGAGUGGACGGGACUUCUCAAGGCCGCAGCUGUCGGAGCCGGCGUGCCCCCAGACAGCCCGGGAGCAGACCGGCUCGCCUUCCUCAUUCUCUCUCCA